rnacentral:rRNA from 1 species
AUUGAACGCUGGCGGCAUGCCUUACACAUGCAAGUCGAACGGUAACAGGUCUUCGGAUGCUGACGAGUGGCGAACGGGUGAGUAAUACAUCGGAACGUGCCCGAGAGUGGGGGAUAACGAGGCGAAAGCUUUGCUAAUACCGCAUACGAUCUCAGGAUGAAAGCAGGGGACCGCAAGGCCUUGCGCUCACGGAGCGGCCGAUGGCAGAUUAGGUAGUUGGUGGGAUAAAAGCUUACCAAGCCGACGAUCUGUAGCUGGUCUGAGAGGACGACCCACCACACUGGGACUGAGACACGGCCCAGACUCCUACGGGAGGCAGCAGUGGGGAAUUUUGGACAAUGGGCGCAAGCCUGAUCCAGCCAUGCCGCGUGCAGGAUGAAGGCCUUCGGGUUGUAAACUGCUUUUGUACGGAACGAAAAGACUCUGGUUAAUACCUGGGGUCCAUGACGGUACCGUAAGAAUAAGCACCGGCUAACUACGUGCCAGCCGCCGCCGUAAGAC